rnacentral:rRNA from 1 species
CAGCCGCGGUAAUACAUAGGGUGCAAGCGUUGUCCGGAAUUAUUGGGCGUAAAGAGCUCGUAGGUGGUUCGUCACGUCGGAUGUGAAACUCUGGGGCUUAACCCCAGACCUGCAUUCGAUACGGGCGAGCUUGAGUAUGGUAGGGGAGUCUGGAAUUCCUGGUGUAGCGGUGGAAUGCGCAGAUAUCAGGAGGAACACCAAUGGCGAAGGCAGGACUCUGGGCCAUUACUGACACUGAGGAGCGAAAGCGUGGGGAGCGAACAGGAUUAGAUACCCUGGUAGUCCACGCCGUAAACGGUGGGCACUAGUUGUGGGGACCUUCCACGGUCUCUGCGACGCAGCUAACGCAUUAAGUGCCCCGCCUGGGGAGUACGAUCGCAAGAUUAAAACUCAAAGGAAUUGACGGGGCCCCGCACAAGCAGCGGAGCAUGCGGCUUAAUUCGACGCAACGCGAAGAACCUUACCAAGGCUUGACAUAUACAGGAAUAUGGCAGAGAUGUCAUAGCCGCAAGGUCUGUAUACAGGUGGUGCAUGGUUGUCGUCAGCUCGUGUCGUGAGAUGUUGGGUUAAGUCCCGCAACGAGCGCAACCCUCGUUCUGUGUUGCCAGCAUUUAGUUGGGGACUCACAGGAGACUGCCGGGGUUAACUCGGAGGAAGGUGGGGAUGACGUCAAAUCAUCAUGCCCCUUAUGUCUUGGGCUGCACGCAUGCUACAAUGGCUGGUACAAACGGCUGCAAUACCGCAAGGUGGAGCGAAUCCGAGAAAGCCAGUCUCAGUUCGGAUUGGGGUCUGCAACUCGACCCCAUGAAGUCGGAGUUGCUAGUAAUCGUAGAUCAGCAACGCUACGGUGAAUACGUUCCCGGGGCUUGU